rnacentral:rRNA from 1 species
UGCCAGCCGCCGCGGUAAUACCGAGGGAGCUAGCGUUGUUCGGAAUUACUGGGCGUAAAGCGCACGUAGGUGGCUUGGUAAGUCGGAUGUGAAAGCCCGGGGCUCAACCCCGGAAGUGCAUUGGAAACUGGCGAACUUGAGUACGGGAGAGGAAAGUGGAAUUCCGAGUGUAGGGGUGAAAUCCGUAGAUAUUCGGAGGAACACCAGUGGCGAAAGCGGCUUGCUGGACCGAUACUGACGCUGAGACGCGAAAGCGUGGGGAGCAAACAGGAUUAGAUA